UAACUGAAGAGUUUGAUCAUGGCUCAGAUUGAACGCUGGCGGCAGGCUUAACACAUGCAAGUCGAGCGGGCGAGGUUGCUUCGGUAACUGAGCUAGCGGCGGACGGGUGUGACU
rnacentral:rRNA from 1 species